rnacentral:rRNA from 1 species
CCCUUAGAUGUUCUGGGCUGCACGCGUGUUACAAUCGGGAGUGCAACAAGAUUGCAAAUCCUAGUGGAUGAGUGGUUCUUCGAAAUUUUCUGAAGACUGGGAUAGUUGAUUGAAAUUAUUCAACUCGAACGAGGAAUUCCUUGUAAUUGUAAUUCAUUAUAUUGUAAUGAAUACGUCCCUGCCCUUUGUACACACCGCCCGUCGCUCCUACCGAUUGAACGAUCCGGUGAAUUAUUUGGAGUAGCUCUGGAAGUUGCAGAACUUCCUAUGUCACGAAAUUUUGUAAACCUUAUCGUUUAGAGGAAGGAAAAGUCGUAACA